CCAGACUCCUACGGGAGGCAGCAGUGGGGAAUAUUGCACAAUGGGGGAAACCCUGAUGCAGCGACGCCGCGUGAGUGAGGAAGUAUUUCGGCAUGUAAAGCUCUAUCAGCAGGGAAGAAAAUGACGGUACCUGACUAAGAAGCCCCGGCUAACUACGUGCCAGCAGCCGCGGUAAUACGUAGGGGGCAAGCGUUAUCCGGAUUUACUGGGUGUAAAGGGAGCGUAGGCGGCUGUGUAAGCCAGAAGUGAAGGCCCGGGGCUCAACUCCGGGACUGCUUUUGGAACUACAUGGCUUGAUUGCAGUAGAGGAAAGUGGAAUUCCUAGUGUAGCGGUGGAAUGCGUAGAUAUUAGGAGGAACAUCAGUGGCGAAGGCGACUUUCUGGACUGUAACUGACGCUGAGGCACGAAAGUGUGGGGAGCAAACAGGAUUAGAUACCCGUGUACAC
rnacentral:rRNA from 1 species